rnacentral:lncRNA from 1 species
UUUUUUUAAGAUUUAUUUAUUUUAUUUAUAUGAGUACACUGUAGCAGUCUUCAGACAUACCAGAAAAGGGCAUCAGAUCCCAUUACAGAUGGUUGUGAGCCACUAUGUGGUUGCUGGGAAUUGAGAUCAGAACCUCUGGAAGAGCAGUCAGUGCUUUUAACCGCUGAGCCAUCUCUCCAGCCAGUUGUUUUGAGACAGGUCUUUCCAUGUAUCUCUGGCUGUCCUAGAACUGGCUAUAUAGACCAGGUUGGCCUUCAACUCAGACCUGUGCCUGCCCCUAUCUCCCAUGUGCCCCUAUUUCUGGCCCAGGCUAUUAAAAAAAAAAAAGGAAUUAAAACUGGACUAUGAAGCUGGGCGUGGUGGCACACACCUUUAAUCCCAGCACUUGGGAGGCAGAGGCAGGUGGAUUUCUGAGUUCGAGGCCAGCCUGGUCUACAGAGUGAGUUCCAGGACAGCCAGGGCCACACAGAGAAACCCUGUCUCAAAACCCAAAAAAAAAAAAAAAACAAAAAAAACAAAAAACAAAAAAAAAAAAAAACUGGACUAUGAGCUAGGCAUGGUGGCAUAUGCCUUUAAUCCCAGCUGACGGCAGAGCUGGAUGGACUUAGGCCAACCUGAGUAGCAUAGCAAUACCUUAUCUGAAAAGAUUUUUUUUCUGAGUACAAUGGUACAUACCUUUAUUUCCAGCACUCAAGAAACAGAGACUCGUGGAUAAGUGAGUUCCAAACCAGCCUUAUCUACACAGGGAGUUUUACCAGCCAGGGCUACAUAGUGAGAUACUUCCUCAAAAUAAAAUAAGUGAAAUAGUAAAAUAAAACUUGAGACAAGGUUCCUUGUAGCUCUGGCUCCAUGCAACUUGUAAUAUAGCUGAGGUUGACCUUGCCUCUCCCUAAAUCUUGACUCUACCUCCCAAGAGCUCAGAUUAUGUCCAUGUGCCACCACAGGCUGAUAUGAAGACUCAUUGCUUUCUUUAACUUCCUUCUUCUAGAUUUCUAACUGAAUCCAAGACUUUCUUUCAUUAAAUGUUUGUUUGAGACUGGGUCCCUCUGUGUUGCUCUGGCUGUCUUAGAACUCAGAGAAAUCUCCCUGCCACUGCCUCCUUAAAUGCUAAGAUUAAAGGCAUAGACUACC